GACGUAGGAUGCAAGCGUUGUCCGGAUUUAUUGGGCGUAAAGAGUUCGUAGGUGGUUUGUUAAGUCUGAUGUUAAAGACUGGGGCUCAACCUCGGGACUGCAUUGGAUACUGGCAGACUUGAGUGCGGUAGAGGCAAGUGGAAUUCCAGGUGUAGCGGUGAAAUGCGUAGAUAUCUGGAAGAACACCGGUGGCGCAAGCGGAACUUGCCUGGGCCGUAACUGACACUGAGGAACGAA
rnacentral:rRNA from 1 species